rnacentral:rRNA from 1 species
AGAGACAGCAUCGCCACGGUAAUACGAAGGGGGCUAGCGUUGCUCGGAAUGACUGGGCGUAAAGGGCGCGUAGGCGGCGAUCAAAGUCAGGCGUGAAAUUCCUGGGCUCAACCUGGGGGCUGCGUUUGAUACUUGGUUGCUAGAGUGAGGAAGAGGGUCGUGGAAUUCCCAGUGUAGAGGUGAAAUUCGUAGAUAUUGGGAAGAACACCGGUGGCGAAGGCGGCAACCUGGUCCUUGACUGACGCUGAGGCGCGAAAGCGUGGGGAGCAAACAGGAUUAGAUACCCCCGUAGUCCCUGUCUCUUAUACA